rnacentral:rRNA from 1 species
CUGGUUGAUCCUGCCAGAGGUUACUGCUAUCGAGAUUCGACUAAGCCAUGCGAGUCGAAUGUUCUUCGUGAACAUGGCGGACUGCUCAGUAACACGUGGACAACCUACCCUUGGGUCUGGCAUAAUCCUGGGAAACUGGGUAUAAUUCCAGAUAGGUCACAGAUGCUGGAAUGCACUGUGGCCGAAAGCUCCGGCGCCCAAGGAUGGGUCUGCGGCCUAUCAGGGUUGUAGUGGGUGUAACGGACCUACUAGCCUACGACGGGUACGGGUUGUGAGAGCAAGAGCCCGGAGAUGGAUUCUGAGACACGAAUCCAGGCCCUACGGGGUGCAGCAGGCGCGAAAACUUUACAAUGCGGGAAACCGUGAUAAGGGAAUCUCGAGUGCCAGCAUAUAAUGUUGGCUGUCCAGAUGCCUAAAAAGCAUCUGUUAGCAAGGGCCGGGCAAGACCGGUGCCAGCCGCCGCGGUAACACCGGCGGCCCGAGUGGUAACCGCUUUUAUUGGGUCUAAAGGGUCUGUAGCCGGCCAAGUAAGUCCCUUGGGAAAUCUGGCAGCUUAACUGUCAGGCUGCUAGGGGAUACUGCUAGGCUUGGGACCGGGAGAGGUGAGAGGUACCUUGGGGGUAGGGGUGAAAUCUUGUGAUCCUCGGGGGACCACCAGUGGCGAAGGCGUCUCACCAGAACGGGUCCGACGGUAAGGGACGAAAGCUAGGGGCACGAACCGGAUUAGAUACCCGGGUAGUCCUAGCCGUAAACGAUGCUCGCUAGGUGUCAGUCACGGUGCGACCGUGAUUGGUGCCGUAGGGAAGCCGUGAAGCGAGCCACCUGGGAAGUAUGGCCGCAAGGCUGAAACUUAAAGGAAUUGGCGGGGGAGCACUACAACGGGUGGAGCCUGCGGUUUAAUUGGAUUCAACGCCGGG